CCUACGGGUGGCAGCAGUGAGGAAUAUUGGUCAAUGGACGAGAGUCUGAACCAGCCAUGCCGCGUGCAGGAUGACUGCUCUAUGGGUUGUAAACUUCUUUUAUAUAGGAAUAAACUUUUACACGUGUGUUCAUCUGUAUGUACUAUAUGAAUAAGGAUCGGCUAACUCCGUGCCAGCAGCCGCGGUAAUACGGAGGAUCCAAGCGUUAUCCGGAUUUAUUGGGUUUAAAGGGUGCGUAGGUGGAUUGUUAAGUUAGUGGUGAAAUGUGGGGGCUCAACUCUAAAAUUGCAUUUAAGACUGGCAGUCUUGAGAACAGAAGAGGUAGGCGGAAUGCGUGGUGUAGCGGUGAAAUGCUUAGAGAGCACGAAGAACACCGAUUGCGAAGGCAGCUCACUAGACUACAACUGACAUUGAGGCACGAAAGUGUGGGGAGCAAACAGGAUUAGAUACCCGGGUAGUC
rnacentral:rRNA from 1 species